GUCCACGCUGUAAACGAUGGAUGCUAGUUGUUGGGGGGUUCCCUCUCAGUGACGAAGCUAACGCAUUAAGCAUCCCGCCUGGGGAGUACGGUCGCAAGAUUAAAACUCAAAGAAAUUGACGGGGACCCGCACAAGCGGUGGAGCAUGUGGUUUAAUUCGAGGCAACGCGAAGAACCUUACCAGGCCUUGACAUGUCCAGUUUGAUUACCAGAGAUGGUUUUCUUCACUUCGGGUGGCUGGAACACAGGUGCUGCAUGGCUGUCGU
rnacentral:rRNA from 1 species